GACGAACCGUGCGAACGUUGUUCGGAAUCACUGGGCUUAAAGGGCGCGUAGGCGGGGAACCAAGUCCGAGGUGAAAUCUUUCGGCUCAACCGGAAAAUAGCCUUGGAUACUGGUUUUCUCGAGGGAGGUAGGGGCAGCGGGAACUUCCGGUGGAGCGGUGAAAUGUGUUGAUAUCGGAAGGAACGCCGGUGGCGAAAGCGCGCUGCUGGACCUCUUCUGACGCUGAGGCGCGAAAGCUAGGGGAGCGAACGGG
rnacentral:rRNA from 1 species